rnacentral:tRNA from 1 species
AAAAAUUUAGUUAAAAUAUUAUAACAUUAGUUUGUCAAACUAAAAUUAUUUAAUUAAAAAUAAUUUUUU